UAGGGAAUCUUCGGCAAUGGGGGCAACCCUGACCGAGCAACGCCGCGUGAGUGAAGAAGGUUUUCGGAUCGUAAAGCUCUGUUGUAAGUCAAGAACGAGUGUGAGAGUGGAAAGUUCACACUGUGACGGUAGCUUACCAGAAAGGGACGGCUAACUACGUGCCAGCAGCCGCGGUAAUACGUAGGUCCCGAGCGUUGUCCGGAUUUAUUGGGCGUAAAGCGAGCGCAGGCGGUUUGAUAAGUCUGAAGUUAAAGGCUGUGGCUCAACCAUAGUUCGCUUUGGAAACUGUCAAACUUGAGUGCAGAAGGGGAGAGUGGAAUUCCAUGUGUAGCGGCGAAAUGCGUAGAUAUAUGGAGGAACACCGGUGGCGAAAGCGGCUCUCUGGUCUGUAACUGACGCUGAGGCUCGAAAGCGUGGGGAGCGAACAGGAUUAGAUACCCUGGUAGUCCACGCCGUNNCGAUGAGUGCUAGGUGUUGGAUCCUUUCCGGGAUUCAGUGCCGCAGCUAACGCAUUAAGCACUCCGCCUGGGGAGUACGACCGCAAGGNU
rnacentral:rRNA from 1 species